UACGUAGGCAGCGAGCGUUGUUCGGAGUUACUGGGCGUAAAGGGUGUGUAGGCGGUUGUUUAAGUUUGGUGUGAAAUCUCCCGGCUCAACUGGGAGGGUGCGCCGAAUACUGAAUGACUUCGAGUGCGGGAGAGGAGAGUGGAAUUCCUGGUGUAGCGGUGAAAUGCGCAGAUAUCAGGAGGAACACCAAUGGCGAAGGCAGCUCGCUGGGACGGUACUGACGCUGAGACGCGAAAGCGUGGGUAGCAAACAGG
rnacentral:rRNA from 1 species